GACGAACGCUGGCGGCGUGCCUAAUACAUGCCAGUAGAACGCACAGUUUAUACCGUAGCUUGCUACACCAUAGACUGUGAGUUGCGAACGGGUGAGUAACGCGUAGGUAACCUGCCUGGUAGCGGGGGAUAACUAUUGGAAACGAUAGCUAAUACCGCAUAAUAUUAAUUAUUGCAUGAUAAUUAAUUGAAAGGUGCAAUUGCACCACUACCAGAUGGACCUGCGUUGUAUUAGCUAGUAGGUGAGGUAACGGCUCACCUAGGCGACGAUACAUAGCCGACCUGAGAGGGUGAUCGGCCACACUGGGACUGAGACACGGCCCAGACGCCUACGGGAGGCAGCAGUAGGGAAUCUUCGGCAAUGGACGAAAGUCUGACCGAGCAACGCCGCGUGAGUGAAGAAGGGUUUCGGAUCGUAAAGCUCUGUUGUAAGAGAAGAACGGGUGUGAGAGUGGAAAGUUCACACUGUGACGGUAUCUUACCAGAAAGGGACGGCUAACUACGUG
rnacentral:rRNA from 1 species